GGUCAAAAGGCGUCUCGACGUCGGCAUCGAGGCUCGGCUGAAGAGGAACAUCAAGCUGAUCGAUGACUUCGUGUUCCAACUCAUCCGCCGCAAGAGAGACCAGAUGAACAACGGCGAAGAAGACAAGGUAAAUGAUCAAGAACACCUGCAAAAUAUUUCCUUUGCUGUGACCUUGAUCUUGUUCGAAGCGCUGCGCAGAUGAGCAAAGGAGACAUACUGUCGAGGUUUAUACUGGCAAAGGAAAAGGAACCCGAAAGCACGAGCGAUUCGUACCUGAGGGACGUGAUUCUCAACUUCAUGAUGGCCGGGAAGGACACCACCGCGAACACCCUCACCUGGUUCUUCUACCUGCUGUGCAAGCACCCAUCGAUACAAGAGAAGGUCGCAGCCGAGGUGGAAGACGCGACCAAGGCGGAAGGAAACAAGU
rnacentral:lncRNA from 1 species